GGGGAUUUAGCUCAGUGGUAGAGCGCUUGCCUAGGAAGCGUAAGGCCCUGGGUUCGGUCCCCAGCUCCG
rfam:Rattus norvegicus chromosome 8, whole genome shotgun sequence.